rnacentral:rRNA from 1 species
AAAUAGCCGCAGUAUUUUGACUGUGCGAAGGUAGCAUAAUCAUUUGUCUCUUAAUUGGAGGCUUGUAUGAAUGGUUGGAUGAGAAGGUUACUUUCUUUAUAUUAUCUAGUUGAAUUUAAUUUUUAGGUUAAAAAGCUUAGAUGUAUAAGUGGGACGAGAAGACCCUAUAGAAUUUUAUAAUUUAUUUUGUUGAUUACUAUUUGGGUUAAUUAUUUAAUUUAAUGUUUAAUUAUUUUGUUGGGGUGAUGGAAAGAUUUUUAUAACUCUCAUAAUUUAUUUUAUUAAUUGAUGUUUUUGUGAUCCUAUUUUAUGGAUUUUUAGUUUAAAUUACCUUAGGGAUAACAGCGUAAUUUCUUUGGAGAGUUCUUAUUGAUGAAGAAGUUUGCGACCUCGAUGUUGGAUUAAAAUUAGAUUUAA